CGCGUGGUUCUAUUUUGUUGGUUUUUAGAACCGCCGUAAUGAUUAAUAGGGACAGUCGGGGGCAUCUGUAUUCAAUUGUCAGAGGUGAAAUUCUUGGAUCUAUUGAAGACAAACUACUGCGAAAGCAUUUGCCAAGGAUGUUUUCAUUGAUAAGGAACGAAAGUUAGGGGAUCGAAGACGAUCAGAUACCGUCGUAGUCUUAACUAUAAACUAUGCCGACUAGGGAUCGGACGAUGUUAUUUUUUGACUCGUUCGGCACCUUUCGAGAAAUCAAAGUGCUUGGGCUCCAGGGGGAGUAUGGUCGCAAGGCUGAAACUUAAAGAAAUUGACGGAAGGGCACCACCAGGGGUGGAACCUGCGGCUUAAUUUGACUCAACACGGGGAAACUCACCAGGUCCAGACACAGUGAGGAUUGACAGAUUGAUAGCUCUUUCUUGAUUCUGUGGGUGGUGGUGCAUGGCCGUUCUUAGUUGGUGGAGUGAUUUGUCUGCUUAAUUGCGAUAACGAACGAGACCUUAACCUGCUAAAUAGCCCGUUCUGCUCCGGCAGUACGCUGGCUUCUUAGAGGGACUAUCGGCUCAAGCCGAUGGAAGUUUGAGGCAAUAACAGGUCUGUGAUGCCCUUAGAUGUCCUGGGCCGCACGCGCGUUACACUGACAAAGCCAGCGAGUAUUUCCUUAGCCGGAAGGCUUGGGUAGUCUCGUAAACUUUGUCGUGC
rnacentral:rRNA from 1 species